UUGAGAGCGGCGGACGGGUGAGUAAUACCUAGGAAUCUGCCUGAUAGUGGGGGAUAACGUUCGGAAACGGACGCUAAUACCGCAUACGUCCUACGGGAGAAAGCAGGGGACCUUCGGGCCUUGCGCUAUCAGAUGAGCCUAGGUCGGAUUAGCUAGUUGGUGAGGUAAUGGCUCACCAAGGCUACGAUCCGUAACUGGUCUGAGAGGAUGAUCAGUCACACUGGAACUGAGACACGGUCCAGACUCCUACGGGAGGCAGCAGUGGGGAAUAUUGGACAAUGGGCGAAAGCCUGAUCCAGCCAUGCCGCGUGUGUGAAGAAGGUCUUCGGAUUGUAAAGCACUUUAAGUUGGGAGGAAGGGCAGUUACCUAAUACGUGACUGUCUUGACGUUACCGACAGAAUAAGCACCGGCUAACUCUGCGCCAGCAGCCGCGGUAAUACAGAGGGUGCAAGCGUUAAUCGGAAUUACUGGGCGUAAAGCGCGCGUAGGUGGUUUGUUAAGUUGAAUGUGAAAUCCCCGGGCUCAACCUGGGAACUGCAUCCAAAACUGGCAAGCUAGAGUAUGGUAGAGGGUAGUAGAAUUUCCAGGUGUAGCGGUGAAAUGCGUAGAGAUAUGGAAGGAACACCAGUGGCGAAGGCGACCACCUGGACAAAGACUGACACUCAGGUGCGAAAGCGUGGGGAGCAAACAGGAUUAGAUACCCUGGUAGUCCACGCCGUAAACGAUGUCGAUUUGGAGGUUGUGCCCUUGAGGCGUGGCUUCCGGAGCUAACGCGUUAAAUCGACCGCCUGGGGAGUACGGCCGCAAGGUUAAAACUCAAAUGAAUUGACGGGGGCCCGCACAAGCGGUGGAGCAUGUGGUUUAAUUCGAUGCAACGCGAAGAACCUUACCUGGUCUUGACAUCCACAGAACUUUCCAGAGAUGGAUUGGUGCCUUCGGGAACUGUGAGACAGGUGCUGCAUGGCUGUCGUCAGCUCGUGUUGUGAAAUGUUGGGUUAAGUCCCGCAACGAGCGCAACCCUUAUCCUUUGUUGCCAGCGGUCCGGCCGGGAACUCAAAGGAGACUGCCAGUGAUAAACUGGAGGAAGGUGGGGAUGACGUCAAGUCAUCAUGGCCCUUACGACCAGGGCUACACACGUGCUACAAUGGCGCAUACAAAGAGAAGCGACCUCGCGAGAGCAAGCGGACCUCAUAAAGUGCGUCGUAGUCCGGAUUGGAGUCUGCAACUCGACUCCAUGAAGUCGGAAUCGCUAGUAAUCGUAGAUCAGAAUGCUACGGUGAAUACGUUCCCGGGCCUUGUACACACCGCCCGUCACACCA
rnacentral:rRNA from 1 species